AAAGAAAUUUUUACAAAAGUAGACGAAAAAAGAUUUGCUCUCAUUGUUUGUCAAAGUGAGAACUGGUUUUCACGUUUUGUCUUUUCAUUCAAUUUCGGACCAAAUUACCCUGGGAAAACUUAAUAAUGGCAUAAACCAAACCGUGCAGCAGUUCGUAUCGGUUAAGUUGACGGCGUAAACCAAACCCUACAGCAGUUGGUUUCGGUUUAGUUGAUGCGGUUCAGUUUUGAAAAAGACAAAAAACAAAAAAACUGAAACGAAGAAACCGAGAAAACGAAAAAGAGAAUAACGGAGAGAUUGAGAGAGAAUCAGAAAGCGAAACGAAAUUCAGUAUCCAUUGCUUCAAAAUUCGACAUAACUUCGAAUUGUUGGGUAGUUGAAUUGUGCCACUGAACUCCCACAUCCGGUGAAGUGAAAGUUACUGUUUUUCCCGGCGAAGCCAAGAGAAAGUUACUGUUUUUCCCGGCGAAGCCAAGAGAAAGUUACUGUUUUUCCCGGCGAAGCCAAGAGAAAGUUACUGUUUUUUCCGGCGAAAUUUGAACCUCCGGCGAGAUCGCAUCUUUAGCUAUGGCUGGGAAUAAAGCUAACGACGAAGUCCCGAGGAAGCAGCAUGGUCCAGGGAAGGAGAAGCGUGUAUUAAGAGUUUCCCCGCGGAGAAAACGCUCUGCGACAAAGGCAACGGAGGAACUGGGUUAGAAUCUCUAAUUUACCGUUUGUUGUCUUUGGGUGUAUCAGAAUUGUAAAGCUUGUUUGAUUAAAGUGUUAGAAUUUGUCGGAAUUUAGCAUAUCUUUAGGAUGAAAAAUUGAGAAGUAGAAUUGGAAAUCUCUGUUUCCGCCAAAAAUAUGAUUUUGAGUUAUAAUCUGGAAAAUGUCUGUGUACGUACACUACUUCUGUUUGCUCAACAGUAUAUGACUUUUAAUUGCAGGUAGUCCAAGUGUUGCUCCGACUGAAGAUCUUACAGUUGAAGAGUUACCACCAAGACUCUUUGCUCUAGACCGGUACCCUUCCGAGACGAAGAUGAACGCGUACUCUAAACCGGAGUACAUUUCUGACAUAGCAAAAGUACUAAAGGGGAAACCAGAGAUGCAGUUUCUUCUCGAUUCUCCAUUUGGGAAACUUUUUAAAAUACCCAAAAACAAGGCAUCUUUCAAUGCUAAGCUUGUCCUUGGACUAAUAUGCCGUCAGUUAGUGACAAAGAAGGUGAAUGAGAUGUGGAUUGUAUUCGGCGGUCAUCCAAUCAGAUUUGGAUUAAGAGAAUUUAGUAUCUUAACUGGGCUGGAAUGUGGGAAGUAUCCCAAGAAGAAAGACGUUGAUGAUGUUAUCAGUGUGAAACCUGAGUGUGAGAGUGUUUGGAAUACUCUGUUUCAUGAGAGGUUUGGGGACACGGUUCCAACAAUUGCUGAUUUGGUGAGCUGGCUGCAGGAGGAGGAAAGCAUGGAGGGGUGGAACCAACUGGCACUAUCUCUUAUUAUUUUGGUUGACGGUGUGGUAGCGGCCCACAGUAACCCCAACAGGCCUACUUCAAAGACUGUCGAGAUGACUAAGAACCUGGAGUUUUUCUGCAAAUACCCAUGGGGAAGGGUGUCCUUUACCCGUACUUUGGGGAGGAUAGCAAAUUUCCAAACUCCUUACGAUGCUCAGAAACUAAUAAGGGGUAUACUUGUAGGGUCUUAUGCACUCCAUGGUUUCCCAUUAGCUCUCCAGCUUUUAGCUUUCGAAACAAUCCCAUCAAUUGCUAAGCUAGGACCUGAUGAUGUACCUAACAGGACAUUUGCUGAGAGGUCUAUCCAUCGUCUUGCCUCUCUGCGAGCAAUCCGGACAUCUCGCAUUUUGGAGUGUGAGGCUGCUGAUGAGGUGUGUUAAAUUGUGUAUGUACGUACAUAAUAAGUAAAUGUACAUUAUCUAUGGUUAACAUACUUAUUUGUGUAGGUUGAGGUCAACUAUAUUGUGAAACCAGCUGAUAAUGUUUGUCCUCCAUCUCUUUCAUGGGAUGAUGAAGUUGAUGAUCCAAGGGUUGAUUACAUUGAGGCACUGUUGAUAGAUGGGCACCAGUGGCAGGAGGAUGAAUGGGUUGGAGGCUAUGCUAGAGUACCAAAGCAGUCGCGCCCACCACAACUAGAAGAGACAGGUAAGUAUAAGUAUAAAUGUUUUU
rnacentral:sRNA from 1 species